ACCCUCUCAGGGUCGCAACUGGAGAGUUUCCAGUACUUUACCAGUCAUGACUACAGGAGGGAGAGUCAAGCGGAGACAAAACCACUCCAUCCCUAGCUUGGGCAGUGGCUAGUGAGUGGAAGGCAAUCUGCUACAAGU